UACGUAGGAGGCAAGCGUUGUCCGGAAUCACUGGGCGUAAAGGGCGCGUAGGCGGUCUGCUAAGCGUGUGGUGAAAGCUCGGGGCUCAACCCCGAGUCGGCCGUGCGAACUGGUGGACUGGAGCACGUCAGAGGCAGGCGGAAUUCCGGGUGUAGCGGUGGAAUGCGUAGAGAUCCGGAAGAACACCGGUGGCGAAGGCGGGUCUCUGGGCCGAUACUGGACGCUGAGGAGCGAAAGCGUGGGGAGCGAACAGG
rnacentral:rRNA from 1 species